AUUGAACGCUGGCGGCAGGCCUAACACAUGCAAGUCGAACGGUAGCACAGAGAGCUUGCUCUCGGGUGACGAGUGGCGGACGGGUGAGUAAUGUCUGGGAAACUGCCCGAUGGAGGGGGAUAACUACUGGAAACGGUAGCUAAUACCGCAUAACGUCGCAAGACCAAAGUGGGGGACCUUCGGGCCUCACACCAUCGGAUGUGCCCAGAGGGGAUUAGCUAGUAGGUGGGGUAAUGGCUCACCUAGGCGACGAUCCCUAGCUGGUCUGAGAGGAUGACCAGCCACCGUGGAACUGAGACACGGUCCAGACUGCGACGGAAGGCAGCAGUGGGGAAUAUUGCACAAAGGGCGCAAGCCUGAUGCAGCCAUGCCGCGUGUAUGAAGAAGGCCUUCGGGUUGUAAAGUACUUUCAGCGGGGAGGAAGGCGGUGAAGUUAAUAACUUCACCGAUUGACGUUACCCGCAGAAGAAGCACCGGCUAACUCCGUGCCAGCCGCCGCAGUAA
rnacentral:rRNA from 1 species